GAUGAACGCUGGCGGCGUGCCUAAUACAUGCAAGUCGAGCGAACGGACGAGAAGCUUGCUUCUCUGAUGUUAGCGGCGGACGGGUGAGUAACACGUGGAUAACCUACCUAUAAGACUGGGAUAACUUCGGGAAACCGGAGCUAAUACCGGAUAAUAUUUUGAACCGCAUGGUUCAAAAGUGAAAGACGGUCUUGCUGUCACUUAUAGAUGGAUCCGCGCUGCAUUAGCUAGUUGGUAAGGCAACGGCUUACCAAGGCAACGAUGCAUAGCCGACCUGAGAGGGUGAUCGGCCACACUGGAACUGAGACACGGUCCAGACUCCUACGGGAGGCAGCAGUAGGGAAUCUUCCGCAAUGGGCGAAAGCCUGACGGAGCAACGCCGCGUGAGUGAUGAAGGUCUUCGGAUCGUAAAACUCUGUUAUCAGGGAAGAACAUAUGUGUAAGUAACUGUGCACAUCUUGACGGUACCUAAUCAGAAAGCCACGGCUAACUACGUG
rnacentral:rRNA from 1 species